GGGUACGGAUCAAUCUAACUCUCAACCACAUCACGCUCAACAAGACAUGUCAACUGACGACAUGGAUAACGUGCAGACUCCUCUUAACAGAGGCAGUGGCACUGAUUUCCACACUCCCGCAGCGGACGUAUCCGCGGCCAAUGCACCAGCCAACUCCGCGGCGCUCGAGGAGUUUAAAAAGAUGUUCACCACCUACGAAAAAAAGUCGGAAGAACAGGAUAAGCUCGUGAGCACCUUGACCAAACAAGUUGAAACUUUAAACCGGACCUCGUCUUCGUCUCCCCCACAGCUUGUCGUCUUUACAGCCAUAGCUCGCGUCGUCACCACCAUAGCUUGAUCUAAGAAGGAGCAGGGAAGGAGAAGUAGUGGUGUUUUGUUUUUCUGUUCUUAGUUAAAAAAAUGCGGAGGAUUUUGUUGCUAGCCACCUCGAGUUAUUUAUGAUAGAGGACGACUAUAUUCAAGUUAGGGAAGAUGCA